rnacentral:rRNA from 1 species
AAGGCUUGACAUAUACGAGAACGCUGCAGAAAUGUAGAACUCUUUGGACACUCGUAAACAGGUGGUGCAUGGUUGUCGUCAGCUCGUGUCGUGAGAUGUUGGGUUAAGUCCCGCAACGAGCGCAACCCUCGUUCUAUGUUGCCAGCACGUAAUGGUGGGAACUCAUGGGAUACUGCCGGGGUCAACUCGGAGGAAGGUGGGGAUGACGUCAAAUCAUCAUGCCCCUUAUGUCUUGGGCUUCACGCAUGCUACAAUGGCCGGUACAAAGGGCUGCAAUACCGUAAGGUGGAGCGAAUCCCAAAAAGCCGGUCCCAGUUCGGAUUGAGGUCUGCAACUCGACCUCAUGAAGUCGGAGUCGCUAGUAAUCGCAGAUCAGCAACGCUGCGGUGAAUACGUUCCCGGGUC